rnacentral:rRNA from 1 species
AUGGACGACGAACUUUCUUCCACCAACGAUGUGGGCUUCCAUCGUCCAGACGCAGAAAAAUGUUUCAUGGGAGCGAUCCAGCUUGCAACCCGUAGUUGCGUGCCUCUCCAUCGUAAUUACAUAGUCACCCCAUGUUCUCCCUCUAAUGCUCUUCCGUCUCGGCAUGUACUUGCUGCUCUCAUCGCUAGGUUCACCAGGCACUACAAGCUAUCCUUCCAUGAUGUCACUGACAAUAGGAUUGUCAUGACCUGCACCCACCACACCACUCGAAACCGUGUCUACAAUUUCUCUAGAAGCCACUCCACUAUUAUUAUCCAAGGUGUCCGUUAUAGAUUUAUGGUAGAUGACGCACUGCUCCAUCUAGGAAGAAUCUUUACCAAUCAGUACAUUAUUAUCUCAAUGAGAAAUCUGCCACUUCAUCUGUGGAAGAGCAUCAUAGUAGAGCAAAUCCUCAGUCCAUAUUGCUCCUUAGAUUAUGUCACACAUGACUCACUCUUAAUAGAAUAUCCAUCCACUUUUACAUGCUAUGCGUGGGCCAGUCCAUCCAUCGCGGUGCCUCCAACCAUACAAGUGAACGUGCCCGAUGAGGACGCGUACACCACAGACCAACAGAUGGCCUUCUUUAACGCAUAUAAUGUAAAUAUGUUCAUCAACGAGUACAGAAUCGGGGCCCACCCAGUGAAACAGCCUUACUGCCCAACCGUGCCAAUAACCAGUUCUGGAAGCAAACCAAUCCAAUGCUUUAUUUCCCAGAGGUUUAUCGAUCCCGCCCAGAUUCAGAUUUUGUCUAGCAUGGUCAUUUUUCCACCGCAUGCUGAAACCUAUUUCUCAUCCUUUGAUAGUCUUGUGACUUAUCUGGGUGAUAUAAGAUACAUCAAAAUUAAAGCCAGAAAGCUCACGUCGUCAGAUUUUUGCUAUCAACCUCCAUUCCUCUCACGGGUCGCUUGCUCUAUCACACUGUACGUACCAUAUUUGAAGCUGAGAUCCGUGCUGGUGAGGUUGACAUCCAGCCAUGGACACCAGCAUUUGGAUCAUUUGGGUUUCCAAUCAAUUGCACAGUCGAGCUCAGGAUCCAUGACAUGCAAUGCAGUUUUUACACGACUCCAAUAA